UACGUAGGGUGCGAGCGUUGUCCGGAAUUAUUGGGCGUAAAGAGCUUGUAGGUGGUUUGUCGCGUCUGCUGUGAAAAUCCGAGGCUCAACCUCGGGACGUCGACGGAAACCAUCUGGCUAGAGUCCGGAAGAGGAGAGCGGAAUUCCCGGUGUAGCGGUGAAAUGCGCAGAUAUCGGGAAGAACACCCCGUGGCGAAGGCGGCUCUCUGGGACGGUACUGACGCUGAGACGCGAAAGCGUGGGGGAGCGAACAGG
rnacentral:rRNA from 1 species